AGUUUUGCUUGAAAUCUGUCACUGAUGCUGGGUAACAGCUAGUAGAGAAGCUGGAUUGAUGGCGGAUCGGUGGCUCAUAGAAAGCACAGCAUACAUCACUAAGGAGGAGACGUGCAUACACUACUCUAUUUGAAAAGGACAGCCAGAAGAUUGGAGAUUUUAACAACAGAUGAACAAGCCAGUAAAAAAUACUGAGAAGAACAGAAACCACAGAAAAGUAGAAAAGAAAGUCCCCCACCUCCUGCCAAAAGAAUAACCAAAGAUUGGCAUGGGAGCACACAACCCCAUUGUGAUCUCCAGGAUUCAUUCACUGGUGAUAUCUGCACAGCUACCAGCAUCACCAAGUCUUUGGACAUCCUGCCUCCUCAAUGAGACCUACCCUUGUCAGUCUGCAGCCACCCAUCCCAACAUCGGCUGCUUUCUCUGCUUUUCGGUUGCCCCAUAGCAUUGGUUCCCUUCUACCAUUAUAUAAAUAUUAUAUAAAUAUUAUUAUAUAAAUAUUUGUUUACUGUAUUUAUAUUUACUUUUACCUUCCCUGUUGGACCAUAAACUCCUUGAGAGCAGGAAACUAUUUUGCUCAUUGAUACAGCCCAAGCACCUA